rnacentral:rRNA from 1 species
UAACAGUCAGAAAAUAGGCUGCUAAUACCGCAUAAGCGCACAGAGCUGCAUGGCUCAGUGUGAAAAACUCCGGUGGUAUAAGAUGGCCCGCGUUGGAUUAGCUUGUUGGUGGGGUAACGGCCCACCAAGGCGACGAUCCAUAGCCGGCCUGAGAGGGUGAACGGCCACAUUGGGACUGAGACACGGCCAGACUCCUACGGGAGGCAGCAUG